rnacentral:pre_miRNA from 1 species
GACCACAUGCAUUGAUGAGUUGAAGUCGGUUAUAAGCUUAAAUACAGAACAUACCCGUUGUUAUUAAAGCUACCAACCGACUUCAGAUCAUACUUUGCAU